AUAUUCCUUCGGGUCUAUUGCGGUGAUUCACAAUAACUGAUCGAAUCUCUUUUAGAGAUAAAUCAUUCAAGUUUCUGCCCUAUCAGCUUUCGAUGCUUAGGUAUUGACUAAAGCAUGGCUUUAACGGGUAACGGAGAUUCAGGGUUCGAUUCCGGAGAGGGAGCCUGAGAAACGGCUACCACAUCUAAGGAAGGCAGCAGGCGCGUAAAUUACCCAAUCCUGAUUAAGGGAGGUAGUGACAAGAAAUAACAAACAGGGGAUUUUUCAAAUCUUACUGUAUUGCAAUGAGGAAAAUUUAAAAACCUUAUCAGAAACAAGUGGAGGGCAAGUCUGGUGCCAGCAGCCGCGGUAAUUCCAGCUCCACUAGCGUAUAUUAAAAUUGUUGCAGUUAAAAAGCUCGUAGUUGAACCUCUGACUGUGUCUAGUUCUGGUUUUCAAUCAAGCUAGGUGCAGUCAUCCAUCUGCAAACCUUCUCGGGCAUUCAGUUGUUCGGUUAGGAGAGUAGAUAUUUUACUGUGAAAAAAUUAGAGUGUUUAAGGCAGACAAUGGUUUGAAUACAUUAGCAUGGAAUAAUAGAACAGGACACUUGUUCAUUUCGUUGGUUAUUGGACUCGUGUAAUGAUUAAUAGGGACAGUUGGGGGCAUUUGUAUUUAAUUGUCAGAGGUGAAAUUCUUGGAUUUAUUAAAGACAAACUUAUGCGAAAGCAUUUGCCAAGGAUGUUUUCAUUAAUCAAGAACGAAAGUUAGGGGAUCAAAGACGAUCAGAUACCGUCCUAGUCUUAACUAUAAACUAUUCCGACUCGGUUUUGGCAUGGCGCAUAUAACCAUGUCAGCGCCGUAUGAGAAAUCAAAGUUACGGUUCCGGGGGGAGUAUGGUCGCAAGACUGAAACUUAAAGGAAUUGACGGAAGGGCACACAAGGUGUGGAGCCUGCGGCUUAAUUUGACAACACGGGGAAACUUACCAGGUUAAACAUUAGUGGGAUUGACAGAUUGAGAGCUCUUUCUUGAUUCAAUGGGUGGUGGUGCAUGGCCGUUCUUAGUUCGUGGAGUGAUUUGUCUGCUUAAUUGCGAUAACGCGACGAGACCAUUACCUGCUUACUAGACACGUGAUGUCAAUUGCGUGCUCUUCUUAGAGGGACUUUGGAAUUUCAAUUCCAAGGAAGUUGGUGGCAAUAACAGGUCUGUGAUGCCCCUAGACAUCCUGGGCCGCACGCGUUCUACAAUGAUGCAUUCAGAAAGUUUUCCUGGCCUGAAAAGGUUUCGGGUAAUCUUGAGAAUAUGCAUCG
rnacentral:rRNA from 1 species